AACAAGGCGUACCUGCGGACCUGCGGAGGAUCAUCAUUGAAAACAAAUUUGGACAAGGGGAUUGUGAUUGACGGGGGAGGGGAAGGUUUUAUUUCCUGAGCCUUGAGAGAACAACCUCUUGGACAAACAACCAAUCUUCAUGACUAGGAAAAAACACAGUAAAGUAAACCAGUGGUUUGGGGGGGGGCAUAAACAACAAACAAGUUCUUGUCUGACAAGUAGUGUUUGGUGAUACUGAUA
rnacentral:misc_RNA from 1 species